GAGGAAUAUUGGUCAAUGGAGGCAACUCUGAACCAGCCAAGUCGCGUGAAGGAUGAAGGUCUUAUGGAUUGUAAACUUCUUUUAUACAGGAAUAAAGUGAGUCACGUGUGACUUUUUGCAUGUACUGUAUGAAUAAGGAUCGGCUAACUCCGUGCCAGCAGCCGCGGUAAUACGGAGGAUCCGAGCGUUAUCCGGAUUUAUUGGGUUUAAAGGGUGCGCAGGCGGGAAGUUAAGUCGGCGGUGAAAUUUUGCAGCUCAACUGUAAAAGUGCCUUCGAAACUGGCUUUCUUGAGUAUGGAUGAAGUAGGCGGAAUUUGUGGUGUAGCGGUGAAAUGCUUAGAUAUCACGAGGAACUCCGAUUGCGCAGGCAGCUUACUAAACCAUAACUGACGCUCAUGCACGAAGGCGUGGGGAUCAAAC
rnacentral:rRNA from 1 species